rfam:Dipodomys ordii contig_18317, whole genome shotgun sequence.
UGGCUCAGUGGUAGAGCACUUGCCUUGCAAGCAUGAGGCCCUGGGUUCGAUUCCUCAG